GGGCGAGUAGCAUAAUGGCUAAUGCACCUGUUUGUCACGCAGGUCAUCCGAGUUCGAUUCUCGGCUCGUCCA
rnacentral:tRNA from 1 species